GGUUUUUCAGCUGCUGAUGUCUGCUUGUGAUACAGAAGGUUUCCUGGUCUUCAAUCACUCUUGCUGCUAAUCCAUUUGUCCCUCUUACAGGACCUGGACAUGAUUGUGAGCACCAAGGAGCUGAAGCUUAAAGGCAAGAGAACUUUGCACUUCAUUCUUCUUUGCCAUCAGAGCAGCCCUACUGGAAAAGCUGCUGUAUUACGGGACGUUUUAAAGGAAAGGCAUCUCAGCUGUAUCUGGCAGCAUCAACUUAUUUAAGAUUAGGAACCUUCACAAGAAACCAAGGAGGGUGGAAAAACUUGGCAGCUUUUUCUGGGUUUAAAAGCUAAGUAGAGUCAGAUCUGCUUGAAGAGGACCAGCAUGGAACCAUCCCAGAAGAAAGUAGUAAAAAACCAUUUCCAAAUUGCUACCCAUAUCACAACAUGGACAUGUCUGUGAAGUCACCAGGAGUCAAGCUUGACAUGAAAGCUGCUUACUAAGCCGUUCUUGAUGCUCUUUCAGUUGAAAAAAAAAGGAUACAAAUUUCCUAAAGAGAUUAUUAAUGGUAUAAACUGAAUUUGCAUGCCAAAUUAAAAUAAUGAUACCUGAGCAAAAUCACAGAGCAGUAUACCAAAUAAAAAUUAAAAAAUAUAUGAAAAGUACUUGAUCAAUAUAUGAUUUGAGAAGGGUUGUUUAAGGCUGCUGAAGGUAGACAAUCUGGCAAAUCAGUAUCUGCCAACAUGUGAGGGAGGGGCUUAAUGUAUGCAGCCUUGCCCUUCAAGAUAUAUGUUUAGUAUAAAUAGACUGAAUAUUAAUAAGUGAUGAUGCAGGAACUACAAAUUGAUACAUUGCUCGUAAAAGCGAUAUGUUAUUUGAUUCAUAAGGUUUCUGUAAAAAGGCAAACGAAAUUGACUUCGAAUCAGGCAAUUAAAAUUGACUGAUUUUUGUCAUUCAGAAGGAUUUAACUAACUUGGAAAAAGUUGCUUUGGAACAAUUCAAAGCCAAACCAGCUAACAUAAAGUCCCUUGUGAUAACAGCUUAGGCAUUUUCCAUGACAAAUGUAUACACAGUAAUUAAGAGAAAAAUGCUCUAUAUUUUUAUUAUGUAUGGUAUCAUUACGUGUAUAUUGUAUUAUUGUAUUUUAAAAUGCUUAGGACGUCUAGAGAAUCCAUUUCCUAGGUGAUACAUAAAAAUAAAUACAAUAUCAUUUUUAUAAAUCAGAUGUUCCUACAUUUGAGUAAUAGCAUGCUAGUCAUUGUUCUUUGGAAAAUGCUUUUGUAUUGAUUCAGCAAGAGAAGAUGUGUACUUUCAAAGUUACAUCUGGAAAACCAAUUUUCAGCUUGUUGCCAGUUAAGGUAAAAUAUUGAUGUGGUGAUUUAAUUAUUGGCUUAAUAUCCCAAGUCAAAAUUACCAACCAUUACAUAUUUUACAAUAAGAUUAUUUCCACAAACCCUAAUAAGGACUUGCCAAAUUACAAACAAACACAUUUUUAUGGCCUAUUGAUUUAUUCUUAUUGAAUUGUAUUGCUUGUUUAAAAAGUCUCCUCAAAUGUAGAAGGAAGC